UUACUUUUAGCCGGGUUUAUGUGGAGCUGCAGGUCACCACAUUGAUCUUCCCUGGCAUUUCUGCUGCUGCUGCCAGUCUGUCCUCCCGAAGGCUGAGGGCACCAGGGACCACGUUCCGAGGAGCUGGCGGAGAAAGCAAAGCGUUUGCUGCCUGUUUUUAUGACAAGUAAAUGAACACAUGCGAACCCCAGUCUGUCGCACCUGCUCCUUUUCCCACUUCAUUUUUCCAUCACCUCAGGCGACACAUGAACUUACAGACAGUAUGGGUUUUUUCCCUCAGCCUUUACUUCUAACUUGCUGCGUUCCUCAAGAUGUUUCUCAAGAUGCCUUUAUCAAAAUAACUCCCGACCAGACUCUCCCCCCAGCCCCUCACAGCUCUAAAAUAAGAAGCGGGAGCUGCUGAGAUCUGUGCAGAGCUCGAGGCGCGGCCGCCCGAGGGGCGCCGGCUGCCGCCUCUCUGCAGCGCGGCACAAGAGCUGCGGGCAGGGAGGGUCCAUUUGGGGGUUAAAAACCCAAACAGCCCCCAAAAGUCGUAUUUUUGGCUUUGUGAGAGCUGCUCGAGCCGCAGCCCGCCACCUCCCUCUAGCGCCCGAGCGCGCCGGCCCCGCCGCCAUCUUGGCCGGGCUUUCCCUCUCCCACACUGCCCUCUGCAGCUCCAUCCCGGGCCAUGCCUCCCGCUGAGGAGAGAAAACAUAAAAAACCCAUAAUAAAUAUAAUAUAAAAAGUCCUUCCUUAUGUUAGAGAGGGGGUCCUUCCAGUAAGGAUGAUCUGAGAAGACCCACGGCGUUCCCCGAGACGCCAACACCUCGCAGGCCCGGCCGCCUCAGCGCCAGCACAGGGUCUCGUGCAUCUUGACAAGAAUCUCUCGGGUUUUUGCACUAAAACCAACAAAUUGAGGCGUCAUCAGAUUGCACUAAAGAUGCUCAAUCAGUUUGCACAAACAGGUCACCAUCAGCCGUGUUUCUACCCCCUUCUGGUGCAGGACAGGUGCCCUGGAGAGCUGGGCUGGCCGGCACAGGCGCAGACAUACCUACCCACCCCGGCUGCAUUUUGCUAAAAUAGAUUCUUCAAAGCAAUAGAUUAGUACAUUGCUGUAGCAUUCAGUGAUGUAUUUACUGCUGCAAAGCUCCAGAUGCUCUGUAAGCCACAAUAAUACAGUUAAGUGGAAAAUGAGUCAUUUAAAACCAUAAUGACUAUCAUAGCAUGACUCCGCUGACAACAAGCCCCGGCGGUAACGCUGCGAGGUGGAUGAGACCUCAUCCAGAUUGUCAGGGCUGUGGGGCACGUCAAGCUCUGCCUUCAGGGCAGGGCCUGCAGCCCCCCAGCCCUGGUGCUGCCAGGGGAGCACCCCUGAUGUCGGGGUGGGGAUGGCCAGGGUGCUGAGGUGCCCCUGUGAGCCCCCAUCUCCUCAGCACUGCGCUCCACCUCACUGCCGGCAUCAUGGAAACGCUGCUGUGGCUCCCAGGUGAGAAGAGCUGGGCACCUGGAUUUCAGCUGUGAGGAUGCAGAGCUCAGUUCUCCUCACCAGCAUUCCCAGGUGCCCUGGGAGCAGGUGGCAAGCGGCUGCCACCCUUCCCAAAGGCUCCUGGUCAGACACCCCAGGCUGUGCCCAUGGGGACGGAUGCGUUUCCAGGUGCUUGCCAUGGUUAGUCUGGGGACAGGCAAUAUGAGGAGGGACAUGAAGGCUCCUCCAGCCCCGCUGUGGUCCUCAGCCAGGCUAGACAGCAGUGGGGCCAUGUGGGUCCAUGCCUUGCUGCUCCUCAGGCAGCCCCUUGGGUGAGUCAGGAGAGAGAGCGCAGCAUCAGGGAAAUCACAGGAUCCCAGAAUAUGCUGAGCUAGGAAGGGACCCACAUUGAGUCCAAUCCUUAGCCCUGCACAGGCCCCUCUGUGCCCCAGAGGAUCAUCCAAACACUCCUUGAGCUCUGGCAGCCUUGGUGCUGUGCCCACUGCCCUGGGGAGCCCAUUCCAUGUUGGCUCUCCGCAAAGGCAAAUAGGGUAGAAAAGGUAAAAGCAGGGCCAAGCUUUCUGCUGGUAUUAAGCAGACAGCUCUGGUGAUGGUAAAUAAACCAUUUUAAUUUGUCUUAGGAAAUUUGGCAUCAGUUUUUUCCCCCAUCUCCAAAGGAAGAAAUUCUCUUGCUUAGGCUUUGGCUAAUUGUUUCAAAAGCCAGGUAAUGGAAAAAUCAGAUGGAUGUGCUCACUAACGGCAGAGACUUUAAGGAGCUCGUAGAAUGGAAUCAUAGUAUAUCCUGAGGGAAGGGACCCACAGGAUCACUGAGUCCAACACACACUAACUCACACUGUACAUACAAUUUGCUAUAGAGAACCAUCUUUUAUUCCCUUAACACAAGCAAUGUGCUUUGUUGCUGGACUGUAACACUGUGCAAUUUAAGCCUAACUCUCCAAAAUACAAUUGCCUUUAUCGAGCUGAAUGCUCUGGGUAUGGACCACUUCCAGUGCCUUGUAUUAAAUGUGAUAAAGCAAGGUCACUCCUUAAUCAACCUGACCAGUGCCUGUCACAGCACCGCUGGGAUUACUCUCAUUUAUGCGGGGGACCAGGAGAGCUCCUCACAGAUCAGACUCUCAUAAAAAUAAUUUACUGCUACAUUCACCUUGCCCAAAACAGCAGAGCCAUCCCGUCACCCUGCAAACAUUUCAGGCUCUCUUGAACUACCCUCUUGUGGUACGGCUGCAGAACGACAUCUUCUUCUAACAGCUUAAAAUACAUCCAGUGCUGCUUCACUUUCUAGGAUUAACUGAGACAAAGCUUUCCUUUUGGAGUGCAAUAACACCCUUUUUUUUAUCAACGAGCUCCAAAUGCAUCAUGUUUCCACCAAAUACACCAAGCUCCCCAAAAUAGGGACGACUGAAAAUCCCAGGAAGUUUAUAGUUCCAUUUUUAGUUGUCUGUGAAAGAAAACAAAUUUCCAAGCUUUUAAUGCAGUUCCUGCUGCAUAAAGCACCCCCUGCCCCCUCAACAGUGAUUCAACAGAAACUAGUUAAGGGCUUUGAAGAUGCGAAGCAAAAGAUACAUUUCAUAAUCAUAUUGUAUAUUUGAUAGGUAAAGGCUCUAUGUAAUGAGCUGAUUAAGUUCUUGCUUAAUUAUUUUCUUGUAUUGAAACAAAGAUAAUUGUACCAGGGGUGGGUGGUUCAGUUCCUAGGGCUAAAUGCAAGCUUUUUGAGCAGAGAAACAUAUAAAUUCAACCAAGAAAAAUGCUGCACUCGAAGUGAGUUUCAAUGUUGAGCAAUAAUGAUGAUUAAACAAGCCACAUUAAGUGCUAAAAUACAGCAUAUCUGCCCUCAGUAAUCAGAAUGACCACAGGCCUUAUCAGCUUGGGUCAAUACUCGAGGUACUUGAAUUAUCAAUAAAUAAGUAAACCCAUUCUUUCCUGGAUAAGUUUAACAAAUCUAGGGUGCCAGUAGUUGUUAACAUGGGUGAGGGUUGAAAGUGCUUUCUAAAAAAAGAAAUUCCUCAUCUCCUACCACCACUGACUCUGCAAUUUACCUGAUCCAGGCUCUUUUUUUUGUUCUCAAGUGGCCCGGACAGUAACCUCGUUGCCCUGGGUGACUCCUGGGCUGACUCAGGCACCUGGUGUUCCACUGGUGACUCUGAGUUUUGUGUUCCCAACAGCACUUUUCCCAUGUAUAAAACAGGGAUUACCAGCCCAGUAGAAGAAACACCAAAUGGCAGCACAAAGGACGGGGGAGACUGUAGGGUGGCACCGUGAUUUCAUCCCCUGCUCCUGGCUGGAUUGAGCUUCAUCCCUGAUAUUGUGCCUGACAGCAUGUGAGCAUUUGGACAGCUAUCAAUACCUGUGUUUCCAUAUGCAGGCAGUGAAGGAAUGAGAAGGGGGAUAUUCUUUAUCACCAGGAAAUACCUUUUGCUAACAUGAUUUCAGUUGCAAGAUACCUGUAGAAAAGGAAAGGUGUGUGUCCCCAGCACAUUGCCAGCUGGGAACUUCCACCUUGCCCACGGCCACAAGCAGUCCCAGCCCCUCCAGCUGGAGCAGGACACUGGGAGAACAGUGUGCCCUCACCUGCGGCUCUGGUUCCCCUCAGCUGGCACAAAUCUGGAGUCUUUUGUAGAGGUUAGCAUGGCUAAUUCACCGAGGCCUUCAGUUUUAAUACUACUGAGGGAGUUUUUUGUAUUACAGCAGCACUGGGCAAUGCUCACUUGCCCCAGCCAGGGCAGCAAGCACAGUGCAAUCAUAGAGUGAGAUACAGACUGUCCCCAAAGACCUUCACUUAAAGAAUGGCCAGGAUUGGUACUUACAGUGGGAACAAGGGAGCUCUGACAGACUGUAAACCAGCAGGGGAGGAGGAAGCCCCACCACUCCUUUGCACGCACUUCUCUCAACCAGCAAAGUUAGAGGUUUGUCUUCAUCCAGAGUAAAGGCAGAGUCACCUUCAAAAGGCAAUUCAGCCCGUUUCAGUUGGGAUCCUGCUCCAAAUCAGCUUCUGAAGGCAUAUUCCUCUGAGCAUCACCAGCAGUAGAAGACUUGACACACGGAUCUUAAAUUGGAUUGAAAUCAAAGGGAGUGAAAGCCUCAAUGCUUCCUGGGACUCUGGGAGUGAGGGCUCAUUGGCUUAAUUGAGAAUUAAGGACCAGCAGCAAGAGUUUGCUCAGCACCUGGGAGGACAAAGAUCAUAGUCUGGACAAUGAAGAGCAUGUUUCUUCCCCCUGAAGACACCGACAGAGCUGUCAGGGCUCUUCUGAGCCUGGAAGACGAUGCUUUCAUCAGAACCUCUCUCGUGGGGACCCUCACACUCGCUCCAGUAGUUCCAUCCUUCUGUGGCCACCUAGAACUGGUUUCAGUCAGAAACCCAGAAGGCUUUUAAUGAUGUGCAUCCAGAAGACUGAGAUUAUGGCCUAAUUAAAAUCUAAUCCAAGUAGGGUAGUACUAUAUUUUAAAGAAGCCAAGGAUGUGGUCUCCUUUUUGUUCCUUUUUCUCCGAUUACUCUAAUAAUUUUAAUAAGAUGGCUUAGAAAAGCUUGCCUUUUCCUUUCCAUUUUUAACAGCUAUUCCUUCUGAACAAAACCCCACUGUUGGGAAAAAGGAUUUCUUCCCCAUGGCAACGCUGGGGUACUCCACACAAAGAAGCACCUAGCAGUUUAGUUCACAUUUUUUAAUAACAUGGCACAAUUUACAUUACACAAGUCUUCGCUGAUGAGGAAACAUGCUGAAGAUUGAGAGCCGCUUCACUUUGCUUUUCACAUAGGAUCUAGAAAGGACUUUAUUACAUACAGGAUAAACAGCAAAAAGGUUUGUAUAUAACAAUCUCUUUACAAUACUGAAAGCUACCACUACGGUUCCAGUGUACAUAUUCCUCAGGGUCGGGAUUUUUUUUUUGAUUUUUCCUUUUGUUCUUAAAAAAAAAAAGAAAAAAAAGGAAAAAAAAAAAGAUAAAAAAAAAAGAAAAGAAACCACCGCACAACAUCUGGAGUUCACAAAAUCUGAAGCUCACAACUAAACCUUCAGUUGACUACUAAAAUAGAUCUCUGAUCAUUAGAAACAACUGUCUGUAGUUAACUUUUUUCUUUUUUUUUUUCUUUUUUUUUUGCCAAAACAGGGUAACAACUUCAGAUAGCACUUUAAUACACUAGAAGACCAAUGGAACUAAUUUUAUUUCAUACAUAUAUUUUACAGUCCAGUAGACAAGAUAUUGAAUUCUCUCUGAUAAAGUCAUAUUCUCUCCAAAUAUUUAGACAAGAAACUUAAUGCAUUAUAAAAAAGUGUGCUAUGAAAAGACAAGAUUUCAGAAGAUUGAUGCAUAUUUGUAAAAAGGACCAUGUUCUUCAUGUUAUUUCAUGGCUUCUGUGAUUAGGGAACAACAAGGCUGGCCUGUUAACUCUUCACAGACUUUAUUACCAACUGAAAUACAAUAAAUUGCAUUAUGAAAUCUGCAAUGGAGUUCAUUAAUUAAACACUGAUCCACAGUGAAAACAUAUCCAUCAUUUAGAAAAGUAUUCUUGUCGGAUUUGUUCCAAGGUAGCUAAAAAUCCCAUAACACAAAAAAAAAAAAAAGCGUGUGUACAGAUAAAAAUGACAGACUGGCAAUAAAACCAGACAUGAAUGGCUAUAAGCAGAUGCUCUUCCAGAAAGAAAUCUGACAUGUUCAGUGACAGAAGUUCUGGAAAAGAUCCAGCAUUUGAUUAUUCCUGUUUAACCCAGAUGAAUGUGACUGAAAACCAACUGGCCAUGACUUCAGUACCGGUGCUUACAGAGCACUGACCCUGACGCCGUGGAAGCGACACACGAGCUCCAGUGACCUCAGCAGCCUCAUGCAGGGCUCCAGACAGAAAACUGCACCUCUAGUGGGCUGUUUCUUCAUCAAAACAAGCAAGAGAAAUAGGCUCCUAUUAGAAAUGAGCUUGUUCAGGGAAAAUAUGACUUUAAUUAUGUUGUGUGUUGAAAAGGCUCCUUUGAGUUAUAAAGGCUUUUGUGAAAAGCCUUAAAUUCAUUGCAUAGUUGAAGGGGUUUAGCUGUCUAUAACAAUAUAUGUAACACAGCAUAAGCAGACUGUGUUGAUCAAUAUUAAGUUUGCAAAUAGCACAGUUUAAGAAGUAUUAAUGUAUUAUGUUACUUAAUUUUAUCUAUUUACAUUUGUACAAAGUAAAGCUUUCAUCUUACCCUUUUUGCAUAUAUGAACCAUUAACCCAUGAAGCAAUCUUUUUACAUAAAUAUCUACAAUUGACUUCAUUUCUGGUCUGAAAGAGCUUUGUAGGGUUGACAUUGGUGGUGGCUUGUUUCUAGUCAAAUCACUCAGAUUGAUGUCUUGUUCUUCAGUUCGAAUAUUGAAAUUCUUAAACUAGAAAUAAAAUAGAGUAGGAGACACGAGAAACGUAUGGACUUGGCUAAAAGAUCUGGAAAAUUUCAACAUAUAAUAUACAAAAAAAACCAUUUCAAAAUCUUUGCACUCGGGUCUAUACAUAUUGUACAGUGGGUCACAUCCCCAGUCUGUAGCAAUGACUAGUAAGAAGGUCUUUAUAUUAUGUUCAUGUACAACGUUUUUGUCCUUCUUUCUGUGUUUUUUAUUCAGUCUCACUCUGCUUAUCGAGCUUCAAUGUCCUUGAGGGUGUGAGAGGGGGGCCUCUCCCUCAUCUCCGUGGACAGAGGAGUAGUCCUUCUGGGAGACCCGGGCCGAGGUCCCAGCGUGGAAAUAAGAGGCGGGGGGGCACUGAGAGCUGCUGUGGGGGGAGUUUUGUUGAGGAUGCCGUUCUGGUGUGCCGUGGGGGGGCUGACUCGGGGGUAGUGCAUGCUGGGGAGUCCCGGGGUGAUGAGGCUGGGGUGGGGCAGGUGCCCGUCCAGGGCGGCCGGGUGCACCGAGUGCAGGCGCGCGUGCUCGUAGUCCUCCCGCAGCAUGUGCAGCCGCUCCCGCUCGUCCAGGUGGGUGCCCCGCUCGUGCUCGCGCCGAGGGUCGACAGACAGAGGGUGGUGGUGAUGGUGGUGGUGGUUGUAGUCGUGAGGCUCCCGAUCCCUGAACGACCUGUCUGCUUCGUACAGUCUUGGCGUGGAAAGACGGUGAAGGGGGUCAUUCCUUAGCAAAAAGUCUCUGCCCAGGGGGUCUCUCCGAUGAAUAUCCAGCUCUCUGUACGGAUCUCUCAAGGGAUCCCUCAUCGGGUCCCAGUGGAAAGAAGGAUAGGGGAAACGUUCUCCACCAGGAAUUGGGCUAAUUCCCAUAAAAGGCGUCAUCAUGCGAGUCCUAUCCAGGCCACUGAUGCUGUUCAUGUGAUGUAUUCCAGUUACACCUACAGUCAUGGGCAUAGACACUAGAGGACUUGGAUGGACGUUGGAUGUAGAUAUAGGUGGUGGCUGAUCAGAUGACCGAUGAGUCUGAGGUCCCUCAGGUUGAACAUCAUGGUCUUCCUUUCGCUCUUCCUUCACUUUGACUUCGUUGCUUUUCUUGGGAUUCUCGUACGCCGGCUCGUUCUUCCUCUCGGCCUCGCGGUUUGAGGUGCUGUUGGGCCUGGUGCUCUCCACAACGGGGGGCCUGGCAUAGGGGGAAGGAACCCUGGGCAUCUGCUUAGACUCUUCCACCACUCGGCUUUCAUGGCUCAGGCCUUCUUUCUCCGAAAUAUAGUUGUCCUUCACCUUGUGCUCUUCAACAUUAAUUUCCUUCCGGGAUUCGGAGUGAUCCCUCUCUCGUUCUUUGGGUUUCUCUUUCUCUCGGACCUCGGGGUUCAGAUGGCUCCUGAUCUGCUCGUUUGAGCUGCGGUUAUGUCCGAGGGAAUUUACUGGAUGGAUUGGUGCUGGCGAAGGAUGGCUGGAGUGUCUUUUCUCAAUGCUCUCCC